UGUAUUAGUAAUGGUACUGUAUUUAAAUAAAAUUGUUUCUGGUCAUUAAUAUGGAUCUUGUUGUUGUUCACUGUUAAGUUUGUGUUAUAUUGUAAACAGUGAUAAUAGCAGAUGGGAAUCUGUAAAGAGUUAUCAGCAGCCUUUUUAUUACACUUAUAUCCUGGUUUUUGAUAUGUUUUAUUUGUGUAACUUUUUGAAAUAGUUACAUUUUUAACUUAUAGCCAGAUUAUUAUUGGUUUCUUUGCUUUCUUCUCCCAUUACUAAAAAAAUAAAUAAAUAACUGCAUUAUUGACAUUGUUAAAAUAUUCCUCUCAUAUCCUGUAGGGGAGCAAGUGAUGAGGAACUUGACAGAGAGCCAUAAGUUUGAUAUUUUACAGAGAGCUGCCUUUAUAUAUUCAGUUACACAACACAUCUGUGAGGAAAAUACAUUCAGGGGUUAUAACUUUAAAUAAUAAAGAAAGAAAUUCAAUAUUAAGAGACUCAAACUCCUUAUCAGCUGACACAUGGAAGUGAAACUAUUACAGCAGGAUCUGUUUUGUUAUAUGAGGAAGUAAACUACAUGAAGAGAGAAAAACACAAUGAAACCAUGGCCUUCAGAAGGAAUCUCUCUAAAGAACAUGACACACAGAUAAAGACAGUCGAGCAUCAGAUUCAGGGGGGUGAGUCAAAUUUACCUGAACACAUCGAUGUGUCUGUGAGGAAAAACCCAGCGAUGGAUCUUUCAGAUCUCU